GAUCAUGGCUCAGGACGAACGCUGGCGGCGUGCCUAACACAUGCAAGUCGAACGGGGUCCAACCAGUCGCAAGACUGGGGAAGACCUAGUGGCGAACGGGUGAGUAACACGUGAGGAACCUGCCCCGAAGACCGGGAUAACCCUCCGAAAGGAGAGCUAAUACCGGAUACCCCAACCAGAUCGCAUGUUCUGGUUCGGAAAUGGAUACCGCUUCGGGAGGGCCUCGCGGCCUAUCAGCUUGUUGGUGGGGUAACGGCCCACCAAGGCGUCGACGGGUAGCUGGUCUGAGAGGACGAUCAGCCACACUGGGACUGAGACACGGCCCAGACUCCUACGGGAGGCAGCAGUGGGGAAUCUUGCACAAUGGGCGAAAGCCUGAUGCAGCAACGCCGCGUGGGGGAUGAAGGCCCGGGUUGUAAACCCUUCAGCAGGGACGAACUGACGGUACCUGCAAAGAAGCCCGGCCAAACGU
rnacentral:rRNA from 1 species